rnacentral:rRNA from 1 species
UACGGGGGGGAGCAAGCGUUUGUUCGGAUUUACUGGGCGUAAAGGGCGCGUAGGCGGCGUGACAAGUCACUUGUGAAAUCUCCGGGCUUAACUCGGAACGGUCAAGUGAUACUGUCGUGCUAGAGUACAGAAGGGGGCAACUGGAAUUCUCGGUGUAGCGGUGAAAUGCGUAGAUAUCGAGAGGAACACCUGCGGCGAAGGCGGGUUGCUGGGGCUGAUACUGACGCUGAGGCGCGAAAAGCUAGGGGGAGCGAACGGG